UUUCUCAGUUCUAGAGGAGAAACAGAGCAAAGAAGAUAUUCAUCACACAAUUUGAAUGAAAGAUGACUGUGGACAAAACUGAGGACUUAAGCCUGGGACACAGCAUCUGAGAUAACUCUGAGAGACUGCUCCGAAGAGGCAAGGGAGAGGAGCCAGGAUAUAUAGGCGUUUUGGCAACAAGGGCAAGAUUUCCUCAAGUGGGAUUGCACGAUCAAUGGGAUAUGUCAUUCUAAACUUUGCUGAAGAUGGCCAGUUCAAUUUCCAAAGAGGGCUUAGCACCCACUCUCAGAAGCAAGGUAAGACUGUUCCCACCUCACACACUUCACCUUCACUUUUAUCAC